AGAAUCACGCAAAUUGUGCUGCAACCGUUUUCUUUCUUCAUUAUUUCUUAUUUAAAUUGGUUUUAAACCCUAAUUUCAUUAGCAAACCCUAGCCGUCCUCCCUACUCCAAAUCUAUGUGAUUUCUUGUGCAAAUCAUCAACUAAAGUCUAGUGUUCAUCGCGUUAUUUUCAGUUACGUUUCGUCCCAGCGAUAGUAGACUCACGCCUCUUAAAACCCCAUCUUUUGUUUCGCUGAACGACCCGUCGACUGCUCAUGCUUUUGGAGUCUACGCAGGGUUAACUGGUUGCCAAGAUUCACGUGGAUAAGCAAGCAGUUUAUGAUUUGAAAGUUGGUCCACUCCGAUUCUUUUGAUUUCUCGGAGGUUUUAUGUUAUUUAAACUAGUUACUGUUUUCAAACUCUUAGACCGCAGUAGAACUAGUUUAUAUAUUACAUUGUUAUUGCACUUUGGAAUUGUCGAUCUGUUCGACUAUUUAUUAU